rnacentral:tRNA from 1 species
GCCGCAUCUGUGCAGAGGUGGUCUGAUUUGUAAUCAGAGAGUCCCGAGUUCAAAUCUUGGUGGCGGCACCA